AAUGACCGCCUGACCCAUGAGGCCACUUUGGGACUCUGACUGUCGUGAUUCCAGUACCCAGAAUGGACAAAACCAGGCCUUGCAAACAGAGGAACUGACUGACUUUGUUCUAAACUACAUUUUCAAGGAAGUUUGUAUAGUGACUAGACUUGGAAGAAAGACACAGUGUCUCCCUCCAAAGCAAAAGUUAGGCAUGCAUACUGUACAGUAUAAUAAUAAUGAUGCCUGCUUCUGGAGCAAAGGGCAGAUAUGCUUACUGCCCAUUAUAAAAGACUCAGGUUCCUAAAGCUCAGGGUUUUGUUCCUGUAAUGGAAUCCAAUGUGUGUACAUGUGUCACAUGAUCCUUUUUGUGUUGCUCUGUAGGAAGUGGGGCUUGGGGAACUGGUGCAAGAAAUGCUGAUAUUCUGGUUACCAUUAUUGCUAUGAGGAAUAAAG
rnacentral:lncRNA from 1 species